rnacentral:rRNA from 1 species
AUUGAACGCUGGCGGCAGGCCUAACACAUGCAAGUCGAGCGGAGCGGCGGACGGGUAAGGAAUGCCUAGGAAUCUGCAUGGUAGUUGGGGAGAACGUCAGGAAACGGGCGCUAAUACUGCAUACUAUUAGAUGAGCCUAGGUCGGAUUAGCUAGUUGGUGGGGUAAAGGCCUAACAAGGCGACGAUCCGUAACUGGUCUGAGAGGAUGAGCAGGCACACUGGAACUGAGACACGGUCCAGACUCCUACGGGAGGCAGCAGUGGGGAAUAUUGGACAAUGGGCGAAAGCCUGAUCCAGCCAUGCCGCGUGUGUGAAGAAGGUCUUCGGAUUGUAAAGCACUUUAAGUUGGGAGGCGUUACCAACAGAAGAAGCACCGGCUAACUUCGUGCCAGCAGCCGCGGUAAUUC